UGCCUGAGAUUGUCUCCUGUCCUUACAGUACUGAAGUUGGCAUUUGGUUGAAAAGCUACUAGAGUUUGAUGCUCCUGAGAGAUUCUACUGGAACUUCCAGGAGUUGUUUAACAUUGACAUAGUGCACUUCUCUCCACUUUGAGGCCAGAAGUAUAUGAUCUCCUAGGAUUGGAUUUAGGGUAGUUGUGGACUACCUGACCUGUAUCCUGAGAACCAAAUGCAGGUCCUCUGCAGAAAUCAUCGACAUUGUGAACUCCAAAGUCAGCUCCCCAGCCUGAACAUAUUUGUAGUUGGCGCCUGUCAACAAGAUCUGGCUCACAGUUUGUAUCUACUUCUUUAGAAGUUUUGGUUCCAGUCAUAUCAUGAAGGGCCUGAUCAUGGAGCAGGACCUGCUGACCUGCAACUUACUGAUGAGAACUUCACAACUAACUAUAAGAUGUUGGCCACUCUGGUUGAAGGAAAUGUUUUAGAGGUCUAACUGGCUUUCCAUGUCCCCACACUGAUCUGUGUGGCUGUAAACAUUUUCCAAAAA